CCUAUACAUGCAGUCGUGCGGACCUUUUAAAGCUUGCUUUUAAAAGGUUAGCGGCGGACGGGUGAGUAACACGUGGGCAACCUGCCUGUAAGAUCGGGAUAACGCCGGGAAACCGGGGCUAAUACCGGAUAGUUUUUUCCUCCGCAUGGAGGAAAAAGGAAAGACGGCUUCGGCUGUCACUUACAGAUGGGCCCGCGGCGCAUUAGCUUGUUGGUGGGGUAACGGCUCACCAAGGCAACGAUGCGUAGCCGACCUGAGAGGGUGAUCGGCCACAUUGGGACUGAGACACGGCCCAAACUCCUACGGGAGGCAGCAGUAGGGAAUCUUCCGCAAUGGACGAAAGUCUGACGGAGCAACGCCGCGUGAGUGAAGAAGGCCUUCGGGUCGUAAAACUCUGUUGCCGGGGAAGAACAAGUGCCGUUCGAACAGGGCGGCGCCUUGACGGACCCGGCCAGAAAGCCACGGCUAACUACGUGCCAGCAGCCGCGGUAAUACGUAGGUGGCAAGCGUUGUCCGGAAUUAUUGGGCGUAAAGCGCGCGCAGGCGGCUUCUUAAGUCUGAUGUGAAAUCUUGCGGCUCAACCGCAAGCGGUCAUUGGAAACUGGUAGGCUUGAGUGCAGAAUAGGAGAGUGAAAUUCCACGUGUAUCGGUGAACUGCGUAUAGAUGUGGGAGGAACACCGGUGUCGAAGCCGGCUCUCUGGUCUGUAUUUGACGCUUAGGCGCGAAUUCGUGAAGAAGCAAGCCGGCAUUAGAUACCCGGGGUAGCCCCACGCCCUUAUACCGAUGAUUUGCCCACUUGUUAGAGGGGAUUUCCCGCCCUUUUACUUGCUGGCAAUCUAAGCGCACUUAAG
rnacentral:rRNA from 2 species